GAUGAACGCUGGCGGCGUGCCUAAUACAUGCAAGUCGAGCGAACAGACGAGGAGCUUGCUCCUCUGACGUUAGCGGCGGACGGGUGAGUAACACGUGGAUAACCUACCUAUAAGACUGGGAUAACUUCGGGAAACCGGAGCUAAUACCGGAUAAUAUAUUGAACCGCAUGGUUCAAUAGUGAAAGACGGUUUUGCUGUCACUUAUAGAUGGAUCCGCGCCGCAUUAGCUAGUUGGUAAGGUAACGGCUUACCAAGGCAACGAUGCGUAGCCGACCUGAGAGGGGGAUCGGCCACACUGGAACUGAGACACGGUCCAGACUCCUAAGGGAGGGCGCAGUAGGGAAUCUUCCGCAAUGGGCGAAAGCCUGACGGAGCAACGCCGCGUGAGUGAUGAAGGUCUUCGGAUCGUAAAACUCUGUUAUUAGGGAAGAACAAAUGUGUAAGUAACUAUGCACGUCUUGACGGUACCUAAUCAGAAAGCCACGGCUAACUACGUG
rnacentral:rRNA from 1 species